UACGUAGGACGCAAGCGUUGUCCGGAAUUAUUGGGCGUAAAGAGCUCGUAGGCGGCUUGUCACGUCGGGUGUGAAAGCCCGGGGCUUAACCCCGGGUCUGCAUUCGAUACGGGCUGGCUAGCGUGUGGUAGGGGAGAUCGGAAUUCCUGGUGUAGCGGUGAAAUGCGCAGAUAUCAGGAGGAACACCGGUGGCGAAGGCGGAUCUCUGGGCCAUUACUGACGCUGAGGAGCGAAAGCGUGGGGAGCGAACAGG
rnacentral:rRNA from 1 species